UACGUAGGGUGCAAGCGUUAAUCGGAAUUACUGGGCGUAAAGCGUGCGCAGGCGGUUUUUUAAGACAGGGGUGAAAUCCCCGGGCUUAACCUGGGAACUGCAUUUGUGACUGCAGGGCUGGAGUGCGGCAGAGGGGGAUGGAAUUCCGCGUGUAGCAGUGAAAUGCGUAGAUAUGCGGAGGAACACCGAUGGCGAAGGCAAUCCCCUGGGCCUGCACUGACGCUCAUGCACGAAAGCGUGGGGAGCAAACAGG
rnacentral:rRNA from 1 species